ACAAACUUGGUCAUUUAGAGGAAGUAAAAGUCGUAACAAGGUUUCCGUAGGUGAACCUGCGGAAGGAUCAUUAAAGAGACAACUGCCCUUUAGGUAGAUCUCCCACCCUUUGUUUACAUUACCGUUGUUGCUUUAGCAGGCCCGUCUUCUGACCGCCGGCUUUUAGCUGGUCCGUGCCUGCCAGAGGACCCCAAACUCAUGAUUUCAAGUUGUCCAAGUCUUAUAAAAUAGUAAAAACUUUCAACAACAGAUCUCUAGGUUCUGGCAUCGAUGAAGAACGCAGC
rnacentral:misc_RNA from 1 species